AUGCUCACUUCCGUAGCACAUAUACUAAAAUUGGAAUGGUACAGAGAAGAUGAGCAGGGCCCCUGCACAAGGACGACAUGCAGAUUCAUGGAGCAUUUCAUAUUAUU